AGAGGGUUACUCAAGUGGUUAAGAGACUAGUCUUGAAAACUAGCAAGCGGUAAAACGUGCGUGGGUUCGAAUCCCACACCCUCUGCCA
rnacentral:tRNA from 1 species